GUGUUUGUUUGGAAGCCCCUCUAUUAAAAUCAGAACAAUAUAGAGAGGAGUUCCAUGGGCCCUGCAAAAAAAAAGAAUGACAUGCAAACUCAUGAAAAACUCCAUAUUUUU